GACGAACGCUGGCGGCGUGCUUAACACAUGCAAGUCGAACGGAGUGGCGAACGGGUGAGUAACAAGUGGCUGACCUGCCCUGCACUUCGGGAUCAGCCUGGGUGACUGGGUCUGAUACCGGAUAGUGUGGGAUGGGCCCGCGGCAUAUAAGCUUGUUGGUGGGGUAAUGGCAUACCAAGGCGGCGACGGGUAGCCGGCCUGGGAGGGUGGACGGCCACAGUGGGACUGAGACACGCCCCAUAUGCAUAAGGGAGGAAGCAGGUGGGAAUAUUGCACAAUGGGCGGAAGCCUGAUGCAGGGACGCCGGGUGGGGGAUGACGGCCUUCGGGUGGGAACCUCCUUGCACCAUCGACGCGGUAGAUGGAGAAGAAGCACCGGUUAACUACGUGCCAGCGGCCGCGGUAAUA
rnacentral:rRNA from 1 species